rnacentral:lncRNA from 1 species
GAUUCUCAGCGUGAUGAAACACUUUUGUAGCUUGGGUGGAAUUUCUGGAGCAUUGAGCACUGCACUUUAUCCAGCCUGGUUUGCAAUGUUGAAUAUUUAUGGCUCUCUGUCCUGCAGACUUCUCCGUGAGGAUCUGGAUUGCAAAGAGCUUCACCAUACUUGGAGCUUCAUGACUGAACRUCAGGGAUCUAUGUUUCUGCUGCAAGAGCUGCUCGCAUGCCUGACAUCUUCAGGAAAACAGGGCAAAAGAUGCAGCCCCCUGGGUUACCUAGGUCAGCGGUUCCCAGAGUGGAGGUUGCGGUCUCGAGUGGGGCUCUAAGCAGUUACA